CAGCAGCCGCGGGAAUACGAAGGGGGCUAGCGUUGUUCGGAUUUACUGGGCGUAAAGCGCACGUAGGCGGACUUUUAAGUCAGGGGUGAAAUCCCGGGGCUCAACCCCGGAACUGCCUUUGAUACUGGGAGUCUUGAGUUCGAUAGAGGUGAGUGGAAUUGCGAGUGUAGAGGUGAAAUUCGUAGAUAUUCGCAGGAACACCAGUGGCGAAGGCGGCUCACUGGCUCGAUACUGACGCUGAGGUGCGAAAGCGUGGGAAGCAAACAGGAUUAGAUACCCCAGUAGUCCUGUCUCUUAUACA
rnacentral:rRNA from 1 species